GCCUGUUUGACAGAUGUUGAGACACCUGUCACCCCACUGAUCACCAGGGUUGAUUUGAUAAUCUGUCUGGCUAGACGAGUGUCCCCUUCCUCCCUCACCACUCCACAUGUGUCCCUCUGGAAGCUGCACACUCAAAGAGGAUGACAUUCCCCGGCACAGGCGGUACCAUUCAUCAGUCAUGGGUAUAUGGUAGCUGCGCUCCCCUGCUAGGAUCUCCAAACAAGCUCAAGGUCCGUUUGCAGGGGAACAAAGGGUAGUCAAGCUUCCAAGACUGCAGGG
rnacentral:snRNA from 14 species